AAACCAACCGGGAUUGCCUUAGUAACGGCGAGUGAAGCGGCAAAAGCUCAAAUUUGAAAUCUGGUACCUUCGGUGCCCGAGUUGUAAUUUGGAGAGGGCAACUUUGGGGCCGUUCCUUGUCUAUGUUCCUUGGAACAGGACGACAUAGAGGGUGAGAAUCCCGUGUGGCGAGGAGUGCGGUUCUUUGUAAAGUGCCUUCGAAGAGUCGAGUUGUUUGGGAAUGCAGCUCUAAGUGGGUGGUAAAUUCCAUCUAAAGCUAAAUAUUGGCGAGAGACCGAUAGCGAACAAGUACAGUGAUGGAAAGAUGAAAAGAACUUUGAAAAGAGAGUGAAAAAGUACGUGAAAUUGUUGAAAGGGAAGGGCAUUUGAUCAGACAUGGUGUUUUGUGCCCUCUGCUCCUUGUGGGUAGGGGAAUCUCGCAUUUCACUGGGCCAGCAUCAGUUUUGGUGGCAGGAUAAAUCUAUAGGAAUGUAGCUUGCCUCGGUAAGUAUUAUAGCCUGUGGGAAUACUGCCAGCUGGGACUGAGGACUGCGACGUAAGUCAAGGAUGCUGGCAUAAUGGUUAUAUGCCGC
rnacentral:rRNA from 1 species